UCCAAAGGAUGACCUCUAGUCUGGCCCACCCACAAGACUUUCCUGUCAUCAUCACUAAGGAGAGCUGCUUACACAGUGCAGAGGAAGGUUCCUGGGCUCAGGGUGCUUCCUGUGUCUUGCCUUCUUUGCCUCCAUGCCCUUCCUCAGUAUGUGGGAAAAUCCUUCUUUUAAUAAAACAACAUCUCAGCCACCACCUCGGCUGAGGAUCUGUCCACCUGCUCCUUGGUCAGCUCAAAGCACCUGCGGGUGACCUGCGACUGUCUGGCAUCCUCACUCACCAUCAGCUCCCCAGUACAUGUAUAUGCCCAUGGCCUGAACCUCAUGGAAGAAUCUCUCCACAUCUUGGUGGUAUGUCUUCUCCAGGCUUUGCAGAGUUCGGGGUUCAGAGUCUUCUGCUCCAAGGGAUACUCCAGAAGCAACACAAGUUUGUCUGGAAGGAGAUUUUCAAACACUCCUUUGGUCUCCCUUCGUUUCCAUUGUCCGGGUCUCCGGUUCACUGGAAUCCAUUUUCUCAACCUCGGCGCUCACCUGUCAAGUGCAAGGCCUCGCUCAGCCCGGAUCUGGCCCUCCCUCUGCAGCACCUGCCCAUGUAAGGUGAGCGGUGGGCUCACCUUACCCCCCCACCACCUGCUGGCCCAUGGGAGAGCAGAGGGGAGUGCGCGCGGCUAGCAACAGCUCAGGCGCAGAGCGGGCAACAAAAUACAGGUGUCUUUUGAUCCAGUAAGAAACUCUGUAUUUUUAAUAGAUGAAUACUGCAGAUUACAUUUAUCAUAGCUUCUAAUAUGCCUGGACUUAUCGCGAUACUGUUUUAUGGCUUCCAUGCCUGGUUUUCCCAGGAAGUGGCCAGCAGAAGGGAGGAAUGCUUUGUCACUCAGCCCCUGGGGAGGGAGGCUGCACGCACAGAUGCUGCUUCUCGGCUCUUGCUCUGACCUUCCCUGCUGGCUCUGGCUAUAGCCAGACUCUGUUGUCCUACCCUGAGUGGAGAUGCCUGGGCAAGGGAGGCAGAAAAAUAAAGCCCAAUUUCUAUACUCCCUGGGGACACGUGUUAGAACAUGUUCCCUGUCUCUAUUCCCAUCCCAGUGAGCCUGAACCCUAGGGUCUAUUUCAGAGAGGAGAUUUGCCAGAUCUGUCAUCAGGAGCAGAGGCUUAGGGUGGCCUCGACCCAGGCCCUCUUCUAUGUGAUAGAUUUCCAUAAGUGGCCAUCAGGUUGACUGAGCAUGAGGUAGGCUAGGGUUUCCUAUGUCAUGGCAUUCUCUAUUUUAAGCUCCACCUAGCUUUGCAGACCAGACAGAUAAAACAGGAAUCAAGGAGGGACCCGGUAAUACUGUCUGGGGUCCUGAAUCUAGCUGCAGCUUGAGCCACAUCUGCCCCUUGAAAAAUGGGCCUCCAAAAGAUAACCACAUCAAAUCUCUGGAACUUGGGAAAGUGACCUCCUACCGUAAAAGAUGGGAUUAAGUGAAGGGUGUAGUGAGGAGGGGCUUAUCCUGGAUUAUAUGGGAUAAUGCGAUCACACGCACACUUCAUCAGAGAGGUGCAGAGGGAGUUUUGAGAGAGACACAAAAGGGAAGGCGAUGUCAGGAUGCAGGCAGAGGUCACGGCAGAGGUCACAGCAGAAGCUGGAAGAGGCAAGGAAGGAAUUCUCUAGAGCUUGUUGGGGGAGUAUGGCUCUCCUGAUUACCUUGAUUUCAGACUCCAGCCUACAGAACUGCGAGAGAACAAAUUUCUGUUGUUUUAAGCUCCCAUGUUUGUGGUAAUUUGUUGCAGCAGCCACAUAAACUAAUACACCCCGUAAGUUUUAAGUGAAGCGGUAAAGUCUCUUGCUUAAGCCAAGUCAGUUUUCUGUCAUUUGCAACUGAAGGAGUCCUAAUUCAGACAGGAGUUUGAGAGAACAGAGAGGCAAAAAGCAUGGGGAAUGUUAUCUGAGCAUAAUGGAGGAGAGAAGAGGGGAAGGGGAAGGGUAGAGAAAAGGGGAUGAUGAGCCCUGCUAAUGUGGCGAUGUGGACACUGUCGUGGGGAGGAAAAAACAGGCGGAGUCAGCGCAGCAAUGGGAACCGAUAGGACCAUUAUGAUUAUCAAUUAUGACACAGGAACAUCCAUGCCAUAUCUACAACUGUGUGUGCAUGCGUGCGUGUGAGAGAGGCAGAGACAGACAGAGAGACAGAGACAUUCAGAGAGAGAGACAGUGAUCAGAGGGAUGAAGCUGAUCUGAGACACAACCCAAGAACUGCCAACCUAAGUCUGUCUGAAAGCCCAAAUGAUGGAGCACCAGCUUUGUGAGAGAAAAGAAGUCAAAUAGUGAUAAGCCAAAUUCCAGUACCUAACAGAACAAAACUGGGACCUGUUUGUUGUAUGCAAAGACAUAAAAAACCUGGCCCCAUACUAAAAGGAAUCAAGGGAGCACCCUGGCAUGGAGAACCGGUGUCUUCGUUUCCUACUGGUCUUUUCUAUCGUUCCAGUUACUCAGGCACAAAGUGAGCAUUUUAACUUGCAGCUCUCCCAGCCCAGAAGCUUCAUAGUAACCAAGACAGAUAAACUGCACCUGGUGCAUGGCUUUCUAUCAAACACCCUCAAGACACAUGACAAGGGAAAACCAAGGCCAACGCCUGACUGGGCUUGCUGAAACGGAAAGCUCAGAUGGAAUUGCCAAGGUGUCAGAAUAGCCAAAAUGAUCUUGAAAAAGAUAAAGUUGGAGGACUCAAACUUCUCAAUUUCAAAGCUACAGUGAUCAAGAUAGUAUGGUACUAUCUAGAUAUGUAGAUCAAUGGAUUAGAAUUGAAAGACCACAAAUAAACCUAUAGAUUUAUGUUCAA